rnacentral:rRNA from 1 species
GACGUAGGGGGCCAGCGUUGCUCGGAUUUACUGGGCGUAAAGGGAGCGUAGGCGGCAAUUCAAGUCAGUUGUGAAAUCUUCGAGCUUAACUCGGAACGGUCAACUGAUACUGCUUUGCUAGAGUACAGAAGGGGCAAUCGGAAUUCUUGGUGUAGCGGUGAAAUGCGUAGAUAUCAAGAGGAACACCUGAGGUGAAGACGGGUUGCUGGGCUGAUACUGACGCUGAGGCUCGAAAGCUAGGGGAGCAAACGGG